GAUGAACGCUAGCGGCAGGCCUAAUACAUGCAAGACGAACGGUAAGUUGAGUAGCAAUACUUAGCCAAGAGUGUCGUACGGGUGCGUAACACGUAUGCAACCUACCCUAUACAGGAGGAUAGCCUAGGGAAACCUGGAUUAACCCUUCAUAGUAUUAUUGGAUGGCAUCAUUUGAUAAUUAAAACUGAGGUGGUAUAGGAUGGGCAUGCGUCUGAUUAGUUAGUUGGCGGGGUAAUGGCCCACCAAGACGAUGAUCAGUAGGGGUUCUGAGAGAAAGAUCCCCCACACUGGCACUGAGAUACGGGCCAGACUCCUACGGGAGACAGCAGUAGGGAAUAUUGGUCAAUGGAUGCAAGUCUGAACCAGCCAUGCCGCGUGCAGGAAGAA
rnacentral:rRNA from 1 species